ACGGAAGGCAGCAGUGGGGAAUAUUGCACAAUGGGCGAAAGCCUGAUGCAGCGACGCCGCGUGAGGGAAGACGGCCUUCGGGUUGUAAACCUCUUUCAGCUCCGACGAAGGGAAACUGACGGUAGGAGCAGAAGAAGCGCCGGCCAACUACGUGCCAGCAGCCGCGGUAAGACGUAGGGCGCAAGCGUUGUCCGGAUUUAUUGGGCGUAAAGAGCUCGUAGGCGGCUUGUCGCGUCGACUGUGAAAACCCGCGGCUCAACCGCGGGCCUGCAGCCGAUACGGGCAGGCUAGAGUUCGGUAGGGGAGACUGGAAUUCCUGGUGUAGCGGUGAAAUGCGCAGAUAUCAGGAGGAACACCGGUGGCGAAGGCGGGUCUCUGGGCCGAUACUGACGCUGAGGAGCGAAAGCGUGGGGAGCGAACAGGAUUAGAUACCCUGGUA
rnacentral:rRNA from 1 species